rnacentral:rRNA from 1 species
CCGGCGGUGGCUUGUGGAAGCGCCGUCGCUCAACGGAUAAAAGGUACCCCGGGGAUAACAGGCUGAUCUUCCCCAAGAGUCCAUAUCGACGGGAUGGUUUGGCACCUCGAUGUCGGCUCGUCGCAUCCUGGGGCUGGAGUCGGUCCCAAGGGUUGGGCUGUUCGCCCAUUAAAGCGGUACGCGAGCUGGGUUUAGAACGUCGUGAGACAGUUCGGUCCCUAUCCUCUGUGCGCGUAGGAAUAUUGAGAAGGGCUGUCCCUAGUACGAGAGGACCGGGACGGACGAACCUCUGGUGUGCCAGUUGUCCUGCCAAGGGCAUGGCUGGUUGGCUACGUUCGGAAAGGAUAACCGCUGAAAGCAUCUAAGCGGGAAGCCUGCUUCGAGAUGAGUAUUCCCACCCCCUUUGAGGGGUUAAGGCUCCCAGUAGACGACUGGGUUGAUAGGCCAGAUCUGGAAGCCCGGUAACGGGUGGAGGUGACUGGUACUAAUAGGCCGAGGGCUUGUCCUCAGUUG